UUCCGUAGGUGGACCUGCGGAUGGAUCAUUAAGAGGUUAGCAAAACAAACCCUGUUUUCUGCAAACCACUGUGGUGCGAUGCAUGUUGUUUUGGCGGCGAUGUUGUGUGCGAAAGCAUGCAUGCGCCGCCGACACUAAACCCUAACAAUUAUUUAUUACUACUCAGCUGUUCUGAUUGCACUAUUACUAUAAUAGAAUAAUCUUUAUACAACUGCUAGCAACGGAUCACUCGGCUCUCGCGUCGAUGAAGAACGUAGCAAAGUGCGAAAAUUAAUGCAACACGCAACACGUGGUCAUCGAGAUUUUUGAACGCAUAUUGCACCCGACAGGCUCGCUUGUCGGGUCUGCCUGUUUGAGUAUCAGUUUAACCCCAACAGCAGUGGCGUGCCCUUUUGCGAGGGCGCGGUGCAGCUUGCUGGAGCUCGCGGGGGGCGUGCUUUUGCACAAACCCUGCGGAACUGGCGGUUCGGUGCCGGCAACGGCGCUGUCUGCCAAAAAGCAUUGGUCAACCGGCGCAUCACCAGUGUGUGUCGUGUUCGGACCGUGCCGAUUAGCAAUGUUAUCAUCUGUAAAGGUGUCUUUGUUACCUCGCGCGCGGUUAUCCCAAACGAACGCGGCCCCGAUGCCCGAACGCACCACCCCUGUACACCUGCACCUCGUGCAAGUGUCCACCUUCAAACCUUGAUCUCAAAUCAGGCAGGAUGACCCGCUGAAUUUAAGCAUAUCAAAAUCUGGAAGGAA
rnacentral:rRNA from 1 species